rnacentral:rRNA from 1 species
GUGGGGAAUCUUGCGCAAUGGGCGAAAGCCUGACGCAGCCAUGCCGCGUGAAUGAUGAAGGUCUUAGGAUUGUAAAAUUCUUUCACCGGGGACGAUAAUGACGGUACCCGGAGAAGAAGCCCCGGCUAACUUCGUGCCAGCAGCCGCGGUAAUACGAAGGGGGCUAGCGUUGCUCGGAAUUACUGGGCGUAAAGGGCGCGUAGGCGGACAGUUUAGUCAGAGGUGAAAGCCCAGGGCUCAACCUUGGAAUUGCCUUUGAUACUGGCUGUCUUGAGUACGGGAGAGGUGAGGGGAACUCCGAGUGUAGAGGUGAAAUUCGUAGAUAUUCGGAAGAACACCAGUGGCGAAGGCGACUCACUGGCCCGUUACUGACGCUGAGGCGCGAAAGCGUGGGGAGCAAACAGGAUUAGAAACCCCUGUAGUCC